GAUGAACGCUGGCGGCGUGCCUAACACAUGCAAGUCGAGCGAACGGACGAGAAGCUUGCUUUUCUGAUGUUAGCGGCGGACGGGUGAGUAACACGUGGAUAACCUACCUAUAAGACUGGGAUAACUUCGGGAAACCGGAGCUAAUACCGGAUAAUAUUUUGAACCGCAUGGUUCAAAAGUGAAAGACGGUCUUGCUGUCACUUAUAGAUGGAUCCGCGCUGCAUUAGCUAGUUGGUAAGGUAACGGCUUACCAAGGCAACGAUGCAUAGCCGACCUGAGAGGGUGAUCGGCCACACUGGAACUGAGACACGGUCCAGACUCCUACGGGAGGCAGCAGUGGGGAAUCUUCCGCAAUGGGCGAAAGUCUGACGGAGCAACGCCGCGUGAGUGAUGAAGGUCUUCGGAUCGUAAAACUCUGUUAUUAGGGAAGAACAUAUGUGUAAGUAACUGUGCACAUCUUGACGGUACCGAAUCAGAAAGCCACGGCUAACUACGUG
rnacentral:rRNA from 1 species